GGCGUGCUUAACACAUGCAAGUCGAACGAGAACGUCCCGGCUUGCCGGGAUUAGUAAAGUGGCGCACGGGUGAGUAACACGUGAGUAAUUUCCCUCUAAGCUUGGGAUAACACUGCGAAAGCGGUGCUAAUACCAAAUAAGACCACGGUAUCACAUGAUGCAGUGGGAAAAGGUGGCCUCUGUAUAUGCUACCACUUGGAGAUAAGCUCGCGGACCAUUAGCUUGUUGGUAGGGUAAUGGCCUACCAAGGCUGAGAUGGUUAGCUGGUCUGAGAGGAUGAUCAGCCACACUGGAACUGAGACACGGUCCAGACUCCUACGGGAGGCAGCAGUGGGGAAUUUUGGGCAAUGGGCGAAAGCCUGACCCAGCAACGCCGCGUGGAGGAUGAAGGUUUUCGGAUCGUAAACUCCUGUCUAGAGGGACGAAGAAAGUGACGGUACCUCUGGAGGAAGCCCCGGCUAACUCCGUGCCAGCAGCCGCGGUAAUACGGGGGGGGCAAGCGUUGUUCGGAAUUACUGGGCGUAAAGGGCGCGUAGGCGGUUUCGGAAGUCAUGGGUGAAAGUCCUCGGCUCAACCGAGGGAUUGCCCGUGAAACCAC
rnacentral:rRNA from 1 species